rnacentral:rRNA from 1 species
GAUAAACGCUGGCGGCGUGCCUUAUGCAUGCAAGUCGAACGGUCAAUCGCAAGAAAGAUAGUGGCAAACGGGUGAGUAAUACGUAAGUGACCUGUCUAUAAGUGGGGAAUAACCUACCGAAAGGUGGACUAAUACCGCAUGUGGUGAUGAGGGUAAUGCUUCAUCAAGAAAGCCGAAAGGCGCUUUAGGAGGGGCUCGCGUCCGAUUAGCUAGUUGGUAGGGUAAUGGCCUACCAAGGCGAGGAUCGGUAGCUGGUCUGAGAGGACGAUCAGCCACACUGGGACUGAGACACGGCCCAGACUCCUACGGGAGGCUG